AAUACAUGCAAGUCGAACGAACUUCCGUUAAUUGAUUAUGACGUACUUGUACUGAUUGAGAUUUUAACACGAAGUGAGUGGCGAACGGGUGAGUAACACGUGGGUAACCUGCCCAGAAGUAGGGGAUAACACCUGGAAACAGAUGCUAAUACCGUAUAACAGAGAAAACCGCAUGGUUUUCUUUUAAAAGAUGGCUCUGCUAUCACUUCUGGAUGGACCCGCGGCGUAUUAGCUAGUUGGUGAGGUAAAGGCUCACCAAGGCAGUGAUACGUAGCCGACCUGAGAGGGUAAUCGGCCACAUUGGGACUGAGACACGGCCCAGACUCCUACGGGAGGCAGCAGUAGGGAAUCUUCCACAAUGGACGCAAGUCUGAUGGAGCAACGCCGCGUGAGUGAAGAAGGGUUUCGGCUCGUAAAGCUCUGUUGUUAAAGAAGAACGUGGGUAAGCCUCACUGUUUACCCAGUGACGGUAUUUAACCAGAAAGCCACGGCUAACUACGUGCCAGCAGCCGCGGUUAAU
rnacentral:rRNA from 1 species